CCUAGAGGUCAACAUUGUGCUGUUGCAGACCAGAAGCAAGAGAUGAAGAGAGAGAAGGCACAGCCUCCCUCGGAAGCAAGCUCUCAGCUGUCCUCUGCCUCCAGCACCAGCCAACACCAGCUUUUGUCGUUAGCUUAUCACCAACCAACCACAAGCUCCCAGGCCACCAUGAGCCGCCAAGACAAGCUGUAUCUGAGGGCCUCCUACACAUACCCCUCUCUCUGGGCUUCUAUUUCAACUGUGACAGUGGGGUCCAGAAGGCUUGGACCACCUCUUCCAUGAGUCCCAAGGAGAAGCUUGAGGGUGCCCAGUGUCUCUUGUAGACACAAAACCAGUGCAGAGGCUGCUCUUGUUCUACUGAGAGCAACACCAUCUCACGGUGUUGGAUGGGCCAACACCAUCCCAAGAUGAAUGGGGUAAAGCCCUGUACACCAUGGAAGACAUGGUGGCCCCGGAGAAGAACUUGACCCAGGCCUCUUGGAGUCUGUAUCCCAAACUUUGCAUGGACCAACGCCCAGCUCUUAACCCAGCAGAACCUGAUGAGGCCCUCCCAGUGAGAUCCCUCCCCCAAGUUCUCUGCUGUAGCUCCUCCCUGAAGUACCACAUAUAUAUUUCCUGAGUUUCUCAGAUGCCAGAAAGCACCACCAGGUGGAGGAAAUUAACCAUGUGAGGACCAUGAGCACAUAAACCCCAGGCCUUCUGGAACCUAAGGACUGAUAAUGGUAACCCCUGUGACUCAGCCCUGUUACCCACCAUCAGUCAGAGAAUUGUGCAUGAGCUGAUCACAAGCCCUACAAUGUCCCUGUGACUCCUCAGUUCAGUCCAGUCACUCAGUCGUGUCCCACUCUUUGAGACCCCAUGGACUGCAGCAUGCCAGGCCUCCCUGUCCAUCACCAACUCCCAGAGUUUACUCAAACUCACGUCCAUCGAGUUAGUGAUGCCAUCCAACCAUCUCAUCCUCUGUCGUCCCCUUCUCCUCCUGCCUUCAAUCUUUCCCAGCAUCAGGGUCUUUUCCAAUGAGUCAGUUCUUUGCAUCAGGUGGCCAAAGUAUUGGAGUUUCAGCUUCAGCAUCAGUCCUUCCAAUGAAUAUUCAGGACCAAUUUCCUUUAGGAUGGACUGAUUGGAUCUCCUUUCUAUCCAAGGGACUCUCAAGAGUCUUCUCCAACACCACAGUUUAAAAGCAUCAAUUCUUCGGCGCUCAGCUUUCUUCACAGUCCAACUCUCACAUCCAUACAUGACUACUGGAAAAACCAUAGCCUUGACUAGACAGACCUUUGUUGGCAAAGUAAUGUCUCUUCUUUUUAAUAUGCUGUCUAGGGCUGGUCAUAGCUUUUCUUCCAAGGAGCAAGUGUCUUUUAAUUUCAAGGCUGCAGUCACCAUCUGCAGUGAUUUUGGAGCCUAAGAAAAUAAAGUCUGUCACUGUUUCCA
ensembl:lncRNA